AAAAAUUCCAUUUGAAGUAGGAACGCUUUACUGGGCCUCAAUCUCAUUUACCCUUAGUCAACCACAUCCCUUAAUUUUGCUGUAUCCUGCCUGGACUCCUUCUCCCCUUCCACCAACACCUCAUCCUUCCCUGAGCCCUGUGAUCUUGAGCCACUAUCUCUGUUUUUUGAACCCACAUCUCAAAGAAAAAACACCCAAGAACUUACUUUUAAAACUAAACUUACUUUUUAUUCUCCUAAUUAAAAAUAUCAAGAACACCUUCAUGAGGCAAGGUCAGGGCCAGACAUAAUAUCAGUGUGAUUUGAUUUAAACCAUUAUCCUGCACUGUUUCCUCUCAGAAAUGUUAUUGCCUCUCUUCAACCCCAUCAUUGUUAAAAAAUGGACAGAAUCUUAGAAUUGAGACAUAUGUGACCUAAGGAAAUGUGCUUGCCUAUAAAUAUGGUCCCAUAAAGUCUGCCUGUACUGAAGCCAAGAGCAGCUCUCAAGCAGUUUUCUGCCUGUUAUUUUAUGUCCCUUUGCUCCGGCAUAUCACAGAGUAGGGCAUCCCUCAGGCCCCUGCCGGACCUCUCA
rnacentral:lncRNA from 1 species